rnacentral:tRNA from 3 species
GGGCCUUUAGCUCAGUUGGUUAGAGCGCUCGACUCAUAAUCGAGUGGUCGUUGGUUCAAGUCCAACAAGGCCCACCA